rnacentral:rRNA from 1 species
CGUGUAGGCUGCUUCGCAAGUCGGGUGUGAAAGCCCUGGGCUCAACCUAGGAAGUGCACUCGAAACUGCGGAGCUUGAGUCCUGGAGAGGAAGGCGGAAUUCUCGGUGUAGAGGUGAAAUUCGUAGAUAUCGAGAGGAACACCGGUGGCGAAGGCGGCCUUCUGGACAGUGACUGACGCUGAGACGCGAAAGCGUGGGGAGCAAACAGGAUUAGAUACCCUGGUAGUCCACGCCGUAAACGAUGGGUGCUAGGUGUCGCGGGCUUUGACCCCUGCGGUGCCGUAGCUAACGCAUUAAGCACCCCGCCUGGGGAGUACGGCCGCAAGGCUAAA